CACUCCUGCGGGAGGCAGCAGUGGGGAAUUUUGGACAAUGGGGGCAACCCUGAUCCAGCAAUGCCGCGUGAGUGAAGAAGGCCUUCGGGUUGUAAAGCUCUUUUGUCAGGGAAGAAACGGUGGUGGCGAAUAACUACUACUAAUGACGGUACCUGAAGAAUAAGCACCGGCUAACUACGUGCCAGCAGCCGCGGUAAUACGUAGGGUGCAAGCGUUAAUCGGAAUUACUGGGCGUAAAGCGUGCGCAGGCGGUUGUGUAAGUCAGAUGUGAAAUCCCCGGGCUCAACCUGGGAAUUGCAUUUGAGACUGCACGGCUAGAGUGUGUCAGAGGGGGGUAGAAUUCCACGUGUAGCAGUGAAAUGCGUAGAUAUGUGGAGGAAUACCGAUGGCGAAGGCAGCCCCCUGGGAUAACACUGACGCUCAUGCACGAAAGCGUGGGGAGCAAACAGGAUUAGAUACCCGUGUAGUCC
rnacentral:rRNA from 1 species